rnacentral:lncRNA from 1 species
CUGCGACGAAAUUCAAAGGACCUUGUGGUGAUAAGCUGAUUGUCCAGGUAACGAUGGCAAAUCAGAGUUAACUGCAUAUGAUCAAGUUUCAUCAAGCAUUUCACAGAUGAUAUGAUUUUAUUCAGAUUGAUGGAACAAUAAUAGCACCGGACGAACCGGAGAGCUGGGAUCAAGAUCUUGCGAGAUUAUGGCUUGACUUCAGUAAGCUGAGUGGGGUUGUCUUCCAAGGGAAUGGAGUCAUUGAUGGCUCUGGCAGUAAAUGGUGGGCUGCUUCCUGUAAAAAGAACAAGACAAAUGCAAGUUCAUUGAUUUCUUCAACCAUUUUUUAUUCUUUAUAUAUUAACAGAAGUAAAAUCUUACACUGGUUUCUUUCUCUGUGUUUUAUGCAGCCUUGCAAAGCAGCACCAACUGUAAGAGGCUCUCUCUUUCUCCCUUUACGAAGCUUUUGAAGCUUAAUGAACAAUUAUGAUUUUUUUUGCAGGCAAUAACCAUUGAUUCCAGCAAUGGAGUGAAAGUCAAAGGGCUGACCAUCAAGAACAGCCAACAGAUGAAUUUCGUGAUUUCAAAAUCCAGCUCAGUCCGAGUCUCUGACGUGUUAGUCUCAGCUCCUGGAGACAGUCCCAACACAGACGGGAUCCACAUUACUCAGUCAAGUGAUGUUGUUCUCCAAAACUGCAAAAUCGGAACAGGUUCAAUGCUGUUAAAAGAAAGUAACAAGCUUUAAUGAGACAAGAAUGUAGUUUAGUUAAUGCCAGAACCUUUCACUUACACAUUCAGGGGAUGAUUGUGUCUCCAUCGUCAAUGGUAGUUCCAACAUCAGGAUGAAGAGACUCUAUUGUGGACCUGGACAUGGCAUCAGGUAAUUUCCAUGGCAAAAAGGGAGAAAAUAAUUCAGGCUUAUGCUUAAUCAACCACUUGUUGAUGUUUUUCUCCUCCUGCUUAGCAUU